GCAACCCAAUUUCUUAGGAGUAGUCGUAAUAAAAGUUCGACUGAAGAUAUUAAACUUAGUGCUUGUUGAGAAGCAACCCAGCUUAUGUAAUUUUUUAAUUUUUUUUCAUCUCAUAAGAAUCCCUAAAAAAGAUAAAUAGCUAAGUUGGGGGGAGCACCACAUUCAUGCCAGCUAAAGUCAAGCACACACCAUGCACAGCAAUGAAGGACCUCUCACCCAACAAUGAAUGCACACAUCAAACUCAGAUGGUAUCCUUCCGUGUUACAUUUUAUUUUGACUUUGUCAUGAUUCUCUUCUUCCAUUGGGGAUAAUAAAAAUUAAGUUGGAGGAGAGAAUAAAUAAAAAAAAAAUUAAAGUCCUCAAGUAAGUUAGCAUUUAGUAUGUAGGCACUGGAUUACGCUUAAGAAUCAAGCUACACUAAGCAAGUUGUUUUAAAUUGAUGCACAGAUCAGAGAGUUUAUGAGAUACUAAGAGAUCAAGUAUUAAAAAAAUACAAUAAAGAGUUAAGUUUAGAGGAUAAACAUUUUUUUUCUGUGAGUACUUCUAAUUCUUCCUACCCUCAUCAAAGAAGAAUUUCUCUCUUAUGGGCUAGCAC
rnacentral:lncRNA from 1 species